rnacentral:misc_RNA from 1 species
GAUGAAGAACGCAGCGAAAUGCGAUACUUGGUGUGAAUUGCAGAAUCCCGUGAACCAUCGAGUCUUUGAACGCAAGUUGCGCCCGAAGCCAUCAGGUUGAGGGCACGUCUGCCUGGGCGUCACAUAUCGUUGCCCAAUGCCUAUUGCAGUGCAAUAGGAAUUUCUAGGGCGAAUGAUGGCUUCCCGUGAGCGUUGUUGCCUCGCGGUUGGUUGAAAAUCGAGUCCUUGGUAGGGUGUGCCAUGGUAGAUGGUGGUCGAGUUAGAACGAUAUCGAUCAUGUGCAUGCUCCCCAAAAUAUGGCCUCUAUGACCCACACGCGUCUUUUGACGCUCAUGACGAGACCUCAGGUCAGGCGGGGCUACCCGCUGAAUUUAAGCAUAUCAAUAAGCGGAGGA